rnacentral:rRNA from 1 species
UGGGGAAUAUUGCGCAAUGGGGGAAACCCUGACGCAGCGACGCCGCGUGCGGGAUGAAGGCUUUCGGGUUGUAAACCGCUUUUGAUUGGGAGCAAGCCUUUUGGGUGAGUGUACCUUUCGAAUAAGCGCCGGCUAACUACGUGCCAGCAGCCGCGGUAAUACGUAGGGCGCAAGCGUAAUCCGGAAUUAUUGGGCGUAAAGAGCUUGUAGGCGGUUCGUCGCGUCUGGUGUGAAAGCCCGUCGCUUAACGGUGGGUUUGCGCCGGGUACGGGCGGGCUAGAGUGCGGUAGGGGAGACUGGAAUUCCCGGUGUAACGGUGGAAUGUGUAGAGAUCGGGAAGAACACCAAUGGCGAAGGCAGGUCUCUGGGCUGUUACUGACGCUGAGAAGCGAAAGCGUGGGGAGCGAACAGG